rnacentral:rRNA from 1 species
UACGUAGGGUGCGAGCGUUGUCCGGAAUUAUUGGGCGUAAAGAGCUCGUAGGCGGUUUGUCACGUCUGCUGCGAAAACUGGAGGCUCAACCUCCAGCCUGCAGUGGGUACGGGCAGACUAGAGUGCGGUAGGGGAGAUUGGAAUUCCUGGUGUAGCGGUGGAAUGCGCAGAUAUCAGGAGGAACACCGAUGGCGAAGGCAGAUCUCUGGGCCGUAACUGACGCUGAGGAGCGAAAGCAUGGGGGAGCGAACAGG